GACGAACGCUGGCGGCGUGCUUAACACAUGCAAGUCGAACGAUGAAGAAAAGAAUUGCAGCUUCGGCAGAAAUUCAUUUCGGAUUAGUGGCAGACGGGUGAGUAACGCAUGAGCAACCUACCUCUUACAAAGGGAUAGCCUCGGGAAACCGGGAUUAAUACCAUAUAACAUUGCUACGAAGCAUUUCGAUGCAAUCAAAGCUACGGCGGUAAGAGAUGGGCUCGCGUCCCAUUAACUAGAUGGUGAGGUACCGGCGCACCACAGUAACGAUGGGUAACUGGUCUAAGAGGAAGAUAAGACCCACUGGAACUGAGACACGGCCCAGACUCCUGCGGGAGGCAGCAGUGGGGAAUAUUGGACAAGGGGCGAAAGCCUGAUGGAGCCAUGCCGCGUGUGUGAAGAAGGUCUUCGGCUGGUAAAGCACUUUAAGUUGGGAGGAAGGGAAGUAAGGUAAUAACUUGCUGUUUUGACGUUACCAACAGAAUAAGCAACGGCUAACUUCGUG
rnacentral:rRNA from 1 species